UGGGGAAUAUUGGACAAUGGGCGAAAGCCUGAUCCAGCCAUGCCGCGUGUGUGAAGAAGGUCUUCGGAUUGUAAAGCACUUUAACUUGGGAGGAAGGGCAGUAAGCGAAUACCUUGCUGUUUUGACGUUACCGACAGAAUAAGCACCGGCUAACUCUGUGCCAGCAGCCGCGGUAAUACAGAGGGUGCAAGCGUUAAUCGGAAUUACUGGGCGUAAAGCGCGCGUAGGUGGUUCGUUAAGUUGAAUGUGAAAGCCCCGGGCUCAACCUGGGAACUGCAUCAAAAACUGGCGAGCUAGAGUAGGGCAGAGGGUGGUGGAAUUUCCUGUGUAGCGGUGAAAUGCGUAGAUAUAGGAAGGAACACCAGUGGCGAAGGCGACCACCUGGGCUCAUACUGACACUGAGGUGCGAAAGCGUGGGGAGCAAACAGG
rnacentral:rRNA from 1 species